rnacentral:rRNA from 2 species
GACGAGGCACUACGGUGCUGAAGCAACAAAUGCCCUGCUUCCAGGAAAAGCCUCUAAGCAUCAGGUAACAUCAAAUCGUACCCCAAACCGACACAGGUGGUCAGGUAGAGAAUACCAAGGCGCUUGAGAGAACUCGGGUGAAGGAACUAGGCAAAAUGGUGCCGUAACUUCGGGAGAAGGCACGCUGACACGUAGGUGAAGUGAUUUACUCACGGAGCUGAAGUCAGUCGAAGAUACCAGCUGGCUGCAACUGUUUAUUAAAAACACAGCACUGUGCAAACACGAAAGUGGACGUAUACGGUGUGACGCCUGCCCGGUGCCGGAAGGUUAAUUGAUGGGGUCAGCGCAAGCGAAGCUCCUGAUCGAAGCCCCGGUAAACGGCGGCCGUAACUAUAACGGUCCUAAGGUAGCGAAAUUCCUUGUCGGGUAAGUUCCGACCUGCACGAAUGGCGUAAUGAUGGCCAGGCUGUCUCCACCCGAGACUCAGUGAAAUUGAACUCGCUGUGAAGAUGCAGUGUACCCGCGGCAAGACGGAAAGACCCCGUGAACCUUUACUAUAGCUUGACACUGAACAUUGAGCCUUGAUGUGUAGGAUAGGUGGGAGGCUUUGAAGUGUGGACGCCAGUCUGCAUGGAGCCGACCUUGAAAUACCACCCUUUAAUGUUUGAUGUUCUAACGUGGACCCGUAAUCCGGGUUGCGGACAGUGUCUGGUGGGUAGUUUGACUGGGGCGGUCUCCUCCUAAAGAGUAACGGAGGAGCACGAAGGUUGGCUAAUCCUGGUCGGACAUCAGGAGGUUAGUGCAAUGGCAUAAGCCAGCUUGACUGCGAGCGUGACGGCGCGAGCAGGUGCGAAAGCAGGUCAUAGUGAUCCGGUGGUUCUGAAUGGAAGGGCCAUCGCUCAACGGAUAAAAGGUACUCCGGGGAUAACAGGCUGAUACCGCCCAAGAGUUCAUAUCGACGGCGGUGUUUGGCACCUCGAUGUCGGCUCAUCACAUCCUGGGGCUGAAGUAGGUCCCAAGGGUAUGGCUGUUCGCCAUUUAAAGUGGUACGCGAGCUGGGUUUAGAACGUCGUGAGACAGUUCGGUCCCUAUCUGCCGUGGGCGCUGGAGAACUGAGGGGGGCUGCUCCUAGUACGAGAGGACCGGAGUGGACGCAUCACUGGUGUUCGGGUUGUCAUGCCAAUGGCACUGCCCGGUAGCUAAAUGCGGAAGAGAUAAGUGCUGAAAGCAUCUAAGCACGAAACUUGCCCCGAGAUGAGUUCUCCCUGAGACUUUAGGUCUCCUGAAGGAACGUUGAAGACGACGACGUUGAUAGGCCGGGUGUGUAAGCGCAGCGAUGCGUUGAGCUAACCGGUACUAAUGAACCGUGAGGCUUAACCUUACAACGCCGAAG